rnacentral:rRNA from 2 species
AUCGUACCCCAAACCGACACAGGUGGUCAGGUAGAGAAUACCAAGGCGCUUGAGAGAACUCGGGUGAAGGAACUAGGCAAAAUGGUGCCGUAACUUCGGGAGAAGGCACGCUGAUAUGUAGGUGAAGUCCCUGCGGACGGAGCUGAAAUCAGUCGAAGAUACCAGCUGGCUGCAACUGUUUAUUAAAAACACAGCACUGUGCAAACACGAAAGUGGACGUAUACGGUGUGACGCCUGCCCGGUGCCGGAAGGUUAAUUGAUGGG